ACGGGGGGAGCAAGCGUUGUUCGGAAUCACUGGGCGUAAAGGGCGUGUAGGCGGUCAGGUAAGUGGAAUGUGAAAUGCCCCGGCUCACCCGGGGACCGGCAUCCCAAACUGCCUGGCUUGAGUAUGGGAGAGGAUGGAGGAAUUCCUGGUGUAGCGUUGCAAUGCGUAGUUGUCAGGAGGACCACCGGAGGCGAUGGCGCCCAUCUGGCCCAAUACCGACGCUGAGACGGUGAAGCUAGGGGAGCAAACGG
rnacentral:rRNA from 1 species